CAGUCGCCGCGGUAAUACGGAGGGUGCAAGCGUUAAUCGGAAUUACUGGGCGUAAAGCGCACGCAGGCGGUCUGACAAGUCAGAUGUGAAAUCCCCGGGCUUAACCUGGGAACUGCAUUUGAAACUGUCAGGCUGGAGUCUUGUAGAGGGGGGUAGAAUUCCAGGUGUAGCGGUGAAAUGCGUAGAGAUCUGGAGGAAUACCGGUGGCGAAGGCGGCCCCCUGGACAAAGACUGACGCUCAGGUGCGAAAGCGUGGGGAGCAAACAGGAUUAGAUACCCGCGUAGUCCCUGUCUCUUAUAU
rnacentral:rRNA from 1 species